CUAGACACCAGGGAGUCCCCAGACACUCUGGCAGCUUCCUCUGUGGGCAGGGGAAUUACUCCCUGGAGAGGGGCAUCAGGAAGCCUCUUGGACAGCUAAGAGGGGUCUGAAUCUUACCCAGGAGGGUGGUCUCUGGAUACAUCAAAACCCACCUGUAGAACUGUACGAAACGUGGCAGGUUCAAUUGGUAGAGCAUUGGCCUAAUGUCAAGAGGCCCUGGGUUUCAUUCCCUGGUAUGAACGUGGUCUUAUGGUGGUGCACGCCUGUCACCCCAGCCUGAGGGAGACGGGUGCAAGGACAGUCAGGGGUUGAAGGUCGUCCUUCCCUACAUAGGGAGUUUGAAGCCAGCAUGUGCUACAUGAGGCACUGCUUUGGAAAACAACAAGACUAUAUGAGGUACAUAUAAGGUUUAUGGAGCUCGGUGCAUCUGACCCACUCCCUUACACGCUGUGCCACACGGCUCAAACCCAGAGUCAGAGUGGCACAACCGAAUAGCCAGAGGAACACUUUGAGACAGAGGAGACUGAGGUGGGAAUGGGUUAAAGACGACAAAGCACGCCAGCAAGCAAAGAGCCCUGUGCAGGCAGUCGUGUCUUCGGGGAAGGGGUGUCCCAGGCACCUGAGCUCAAGGAGAAAAACUAAAACACGGAGUUCAACAGGGCCACGCACAUCGCUGGAGGUCACACAGAGAGUGGGUCUCAGGACCUGAUUUGAACCCGGCUCUGAGGAUACCGGUGUGCUCCCUUCUUGCUGCUCUGGUCUGGCCUCACCAGCAGGAAGAGCCCCAGCGGCAGUCUGGGAGGCUCCCCAGGGCCUGCUGAAAAUGGCGAAAGAGGUUUGGCAAAGAAGGUCCAAUCCAGAGCUGCAGCUCCAAGUGGGGAGGGGGGUCAGUGGGGCACAGGCCCACUGUGGAGCGUCCGUCUCUCCCGGGCCUGGGCAGCCAGAGUCUCCACCUACCUCCUUGGCUUUUGCCUCGCUUCCUGGGUCAGAGCGUGGGAUCUCUUGCCUCCGGGCUUGGGUACAAAUCCAGUUUCAUCUGGCUUGGCAACACGGGCCCUGGGCCUGGCUUUCCAGCCCCAGAACCCAACCUCUUAGUCUCAACCAGGCAGCAUGGGGGACUCAGAAGAAGGUGGGACUCACUCCAGUGCCUGCGUCCCAGGACUGCCAAGGAGCGUCUCUGAGUGAAUCACCCAUGAGUCCUCCAGCCUCCAGCGGCUCCCUCGCUCCCAGCCUUCUUCCUAUGCUCUCUGUGCUCCAGACUGCCCUGACGAAACACAACUGGAUCAUGACCCUCCCGUGCUCCAGAGCCUCCUGUGGCUCCUACUGCCUUAAAGACUAACCCUUACAACCUACAGAUGCUGUACCUUGAAGUGGGUGGCUCCUCCUCCCCCUCCCUCCCCUUCCCAGGCUGCCUUCCCAUUCCCCUUCCCUUCCCUCUACUUUGUCCCCAACCCCACCCCACUUGCCCUCUGCCUCCAGCUGAGGCUGCCUGGGUUCUUUUAGCGACUCCUGCUAGCCUCAGGGUGAUUUGGAGGCUGCCUCCUCCACUUGGUGUGUCCCCCCCCCCACCUAGCUGGGCUCUCUGAUUGGGAGACCCUCUAGUAGCAGACCACCGGACUCUUUCUCAGACUCCUGGGCCCACCUCCAAACUGCCAUCUAGGGGCUUGUUGGGUGACCUCUGAGAACAGGAGCCCCUCGCCUGGGAGCAGGGGCCUAGCUGCUCACUCUCUGACAUGCUCCUGAGUAGAGAGGCUCAAACGCCUGGCUGCAGCUGAGCUCCAUUCUGUCAGCGCAGUCGUGGCCUUCUCCCCUGUUCUCCCCAAAGCAGGUCCUCGAUGAACUGCAUUCACCCCAACCGUGACUUAGACUCUGCUUCUGGAAACUUAAACAGACCCAUCCCCAGCGGAGAGACUUUCCAGGUGCUCCCUGCUUUUUGAUUUAGUCCUCGUAGCCCUCUGGGUCCCCCAACCCCCUUGUCACAAAAGAGGAUGACUAAGGAGUUAGCUGAAAUUGUCCCCCACCCUAGAAUGAAAAGCAGGAAUCCUGCUCACUGCCUUCCUGGAGUGUUCCCAGUGCACACUGCAAGGCUUGGCCCACAGUGCAUGCUCAAUAAAUGCUUGUUGAAUGACUGAAUAAAGAAAUAGCAGGACGA
rnacentral:sRNA from 1 species